UUUAUUGUGUUGGGUGCAUAUAUUACUUGUAUGGAAGUUGUUAAACCACUUUUACUGAUUUCGUCUGGUGUAAAGCAUGUUUCAGUAACACUCGCUGCGGUUCAGUUCUCAUUACGUAGACCAGACUUUCGUGGAAACGAGAACAAGUCUAACAGAAAAUAAAGCCAAAAGUAGAACAUUUAUAAGUCAACGCCGGCGUAUUUUUUUUCCGAAGGGUCAACGGAAAUGACAUCGCGAUGGC